UACGGAGGAUCCAAGCGUUAUCCGGAAUCAUUGGGUUUAAAGGGUCCGUAGGCGGUUUGGUAAGUCAGUGGUGAAAGCCCAUCGCUCAACGGUGGAAACGGCCAUUGAUACUGCCAGACUUGAAUUAUUAGGAAGUAACUAGAAUAUGUAGUGUAGCGGUGAAAUGCUUAGAGAUUACAUGGAAUACCAAUUGCGAAGGCAGGUUACUACUAAUGGAUUGACGCUGAUGGACGAAAGCGUGGGUAGCGAACAGG
rnacentral:rRNA from 1 species